UUAGAGUUUGAUCCUGGCUCAAGAGGACCGCUGGCGGCGUGCCUAACACAUGCAAGUCGAACGAAGCAAUUAAAAUGAAGUUUUCGGAUGGAUUUUUAAUUGACUGAGUGGCGGACGGGUGAGUAACGCGUGGAUAACCUGCCUCACACUGGGGGAUAACAGUUAGAAAUGACUGCUAAUACCGCAUAAGCGCACAGUACCGCAUGGUACGGUGUGAAAAACUCCGGUGGUGUGAGAUGGAUCCGCGUCUGAUUAGCCAGUUGGCGGGGUAACGGCCCACCAAAGCGACGAUCAGUAGCCGACCUGAGAGGGUGACCGGCCACAUUGGGACUGAGACACGGCCCAAACUCCUACGGGAGGCAGCAGUGGGGAAUAUUGCACAAUGGGCGAAAGCCUGAUGCAGCGACGCCGCGUGAGUGAAGAAGUAUUUCGGUAUGUAAAGCUCUAUCAGCAGGGAAGAAAAUGACGGUACCUGACUAAGAAGCCCCGGCUAACUACGUGCCAGCAGCCGCGGUAAUACGUAGGGGGCAAGCGUUAUCCGGAUUUACUGGGUGUAAAGGGAGCGUAGACGGCGAAGCAAGUCUGAAGUGAAAACCCAGGGCUCAACCCUGGGACUGCUUUGGAAACUGUUUUGCUAGAGUGUCGGAGAGGUAAGUGGAAUUCCUAGUGUAGCGGUGAAAUGCGUAGAUAUUAGGAGGAACACCAGUGGCGAAGGCGGCUUACUGGACGAUAACUGACGUUGAGGCUCGAAAGCGUGGGGAGCAAACAGGAUUCGAUNCCCUGGUAGUCCCCGCCGUAANCGACCAAUAUGAGGUGUUGGGGGGGCAAAGCCCUUCGGUGCCGUGCCAAACGCAGUAAGCAUUCCACCUGGGAAGGACGUUCGCAGGAAUGAAACUCAAAAGGAAAUGACGGGGGACCCGCACAAGCGGUGGAGCAUGUGGUUUAAUUGGAAGCAACGCGAAGAACCUUACCAAGUCUUGACAUCCUCUUGACCGGUGUGUAACGGCGCCUUCCCUUCGGGGCAAGAGAGACAGGUGGUGCAUGGUUGUCGUCAGCUCGUGUCGUGAGAUGUUGGGUUAAGUCCCGCAACGAGCGCAACCCUUAUCCUUAGUAGCCAGCAGGUAAAGCUGGGCACUCUAGGGAGACUGCCAGGGAUAACCUGGAGGAAGGUGGGGAUGACGUCAAAUCAUCAUGCCCCUUAUGAUUUGGGCUACACACGUGCUACAAUGGCGUAAACAAAGGGAAGCAAGACAGUGAUGUGGAGCAAAUCCCAAA
rnacentral:rRNA from 1 species